rnacentral:rRNA from 1 species
GGCGGCAGGCCUAACACAUGCAAGUCGAACGGAUCCUUCGGGAUUAGUGGCGCACGGGUGAGUAACGCGUGGAUAUCUACCUCGGGAUGGGGAAUAACCAUUGGAAACGAUGGCUAAUACCGCAUACGCCGGAAACGGGAAAGCUUUAUGCGUCCUGAGAUGAGUCCGCGUUAGAUUAGAUAGUUGGUGGGGUAAUGGCCUACCAAGUCUACGAUCUAUAGCUGGUCUGAGAGGAUGAUCAGCCACACUGGGACUGAGACACGGCCCAGACUCCUACGGGAGGCAGCA